AUACUUACCUGGCAGGGGAGACACCAUGAUCAUGGAAAGUGGUUUUCCUAGGGUGAGGCUUAUCCAUUGAACUCCUGAUGUGCUGACCCCUGUGAUUUCCCCAAAUGCUGGGAAACUCGACUGCAUAAUUUGUGAUAAUGGGGGACUGUGUUUGUGCUCUCCCCUG
ensembl:snRNA LOC120094894 U1 spliceosomal RNA